rnacentral:rRNA from 1 species
GACGAACCGUGCGAACGUUAUUCGGAAUCACUGGGCUUAAAGCGUGUGUAGGCGGCGGCCUAAGUACCUUGUGAAAUCCCACGGCUCACCCGUGGAACUGCUCGGUAUACUGGGUCGCUUGAGCCACUUAGGGGCUACCGGAACAAAUGGUGGAGCGGUGAAAUGCGUAGAUAUCAUUUGGAACGCCAAUGGUGAAAACAGGUAGCUGGGAGUGUGCUGACGCUGAGACACGAAAGCCAGGGGAGCAAACGGG